rnacentral:tRNA from 1 species
GCCUGGCUGGCUCAACUGGUAGAGCGUGUGACUCUUGAUCUCAGGGUUGUGAGUUCAAGUCCUGUGUUGGGUA